UGGCGUAAACAGAGGGAAGCGAGAUCGAGAGAUGGAGCAAAUCCCAAAAAUAACGUCCCAGUUCGGACUGUAGUCUGCAACCCGACUACACGAAGCUGGAAUCGCUAGUAAUCGCGGAUCAGAAUGCCGCGGUGAAUACGUUCCCGGGUCUUGUACACACCACCCGUCACACCACGGGAGUCAGUAACGCCCGAAGUCAGUGACCCUAACCGGAAAGGGGGGGAGCUGCCGAAGGCGGGACGGAUGACUGGGGUGAAGUCGUAACAAGGUAAC
rnacentral:rRNA from 1 species